AUUGAACGCUGGCGGCAGGCCUAACACAUGCAAGUCGAGCGAGCGGCGGACGGGUGAGUAAUGUCUGGGAAACUGCCUGAUGGCGGGGGAUAACUACUGGAAACGGUAGCUAAUACCGCAUACCAUCAGAUGUGCCCAGAUGGGAUUGGCUAGUAGGUGGGGUAACGGUUCACCUCGGCGACGAUCACUAGCUGGUCUGAGAGGAUGACCAGCAACACUGGAACUGAGAAACGGGCCUGACGCCGACGGGAGGCAGCAGUGGGGAAUAUGGCACAAUGGGGGCAAGCCUGAUGCAGCCAUGCGGCGUGUGCGAAGAAGGCCUUCGGGUUGUAAAGCACUUUCAGCGGGGAGGCGUUACCCGCAGAAGAAGCACCGGCUAACUCCGUGCCAGCAGCCGCGGUAAUAC
rnacentral:rRNA from 1 species